CAUUACGACCAGACAUCUCCACUUUGGUCUUGUCUGUCCCAUAGACAUUGUUCCAGAAGUCUUGUGGGUUGUUCAGAUGCUACUUUGCAAACCUAAACUGUGUUUAAAUUUUGGAAGGCAGGCCUUCCAAACCACCAGCUUUCCGUGUGUUUCACACACUACUCGUGCAUUCUGGCUUAAUUUUUGUUUAAAAAAUAAUAAAAUGGUUCAGUAUGUCAUGUUUUGUAGUUCUGCUGAGGUUUUCUUUACCUAAUUGAAAGACCUACUAAGUACAUGUUCAAGUUCAUGGUUGAUUCAUAUCAUGUUGUGAAAAACCUUAUAAUAUAAAGAGAAUUUAAUUUGUUUUUGCCAUAAGCGGACUGAGAUGGAAAAUGUGUUUUAGGAAACUUUCGGGUCGUACAAACACUAAAUGCUUUCUGUUAGCAAAUCAAACUAGAAUGGCACAAAUGGCAUAAGAACUCAUUCACUACUACUUUAAAAACGACUUUCACCGUUAAUAUUUGUUGGCUAACCUCAUGUGAAGAUUGUAGCCAGCGCCAUUAAAUAUGAUGUACCUCAGGGCUCAGUCAUAGGCCCACUGUGACUGUGAAUUUAAAAGUCAGUUGUUUAUAGGCAAAACAGUUCUAUUUGUCUCUUGUAUAAACCUUAAAAUCCUCCACAACAAACACAUCCAUGUACAUGUGUAACAGAGAAGCAGAAUAAUUGUGUGGAGUCUGGUUGAACUUUCAUUUAUCAGCAUCUCCUGACUAUAAGCGGGGGCCUUUGAGGUUACGGAGGGCAAAUCAAAUGGAUUCACAGCUGGAAUCCAGAUCACAUGAGUCUGUGAGUGAUCUGAUGUAUGUGUGAGGAGAAAGCAGUCUAUUCAUUGUGCUGUGUUACAAAACUGCAUGUUGGCUGACAGGUCUUGUGACAUGAAUAAAUAUUUCCGCUCUACAGUCUAAUAUAAACCAUAUAAUAAUAAUAAUAAUAAUAAUAAUAAUGAUAUAAAGUUUAAAAUCACUGAAUUAAUUGUUUUACACUUUGAGCUGAUGGCGAUGUAGUGGAUUUAAACUCUUUAAAAUGAAUAAACUCUUAAAAACUGGUGUUAUGUUUAAAAAAAAAACUAACUUUAAGGAAAUGUUUUCACUGUAUUUGUUUCAUUUUAUACCUUUUACUUCUUUUUAUUGUUUUGUCAGUAUUUAUGGUUGAAUUAUAUUCAUACUACAAAUUAUAAUUCUUUUCAUUAUUUAUGUACAUUUGAAUUCUGAGUUUAUUAUGCAUUUCAUUUUUCCAUUUGAGUAUGUUAGUAUGUUUUCAUAGUCAUCUGUUUUAUAUUUACUUUAUCAUCAUUGUUUUAUUACAUAGAUCUUGUUGUUACAUAUUUUAAAUUUGAAUUUCUGGUUUUGUCUCUAUUUCCACCUUUAUUCAAUCACAGUUUGUUUUCUGGCUGUGACCUUCAGUGGGGAGGACUUUGUUGUUGUUUCCAGUCAUUGUUCAUUAAAGCUGCUGAUAAGCUGUGAUUUAC
ensembl:lncRNA